rnacentral:rRNA from 1 species
AGUUUGAUUAUGGCCCAGAUUGAACGCUGGCGGGAUGCUUUACACAUGCAAGUCGUGAACGGCAGCACGGACUUGGUCUGGUGGCGAGUGGCGAACGGGUGAGUAAUGUAUCGGAACGUGCCUAGUAGCGGGGGAUAACUACGCGAAAGCGGCUAAUACGCACGCCCUUCGGGGGAAAGCGGGGGACCUUCGGGCCUCGCACUAUUAGAGCGGCUGAUAUCGGAUUAGCUAUUAUGGGGUAACGGCUCACCACAUAUGACGAUCCGUAGCCGGUUUGAGAGGACGACCAGCCACACUGGACCGAGACACGGCCUACCCUACGGGAGGCAGCAGUGAAUUUUGGAUAAUGGGGAAAACCUGAUCCAGCCAUCCCGCGUGUGCGAUGAAGGCCUUCGCCAAAAAGCACUUUUGGCAGGAAAGAAAACGGCACGGGGAUAAUACCCCGUGCAACUGACGGUACCUGCAGAACACCAGCUAACUACUGCGCCGCAGUCAUGGGUAAUACGUAGGGUAAGCGUUAAUCGGAAUUACUGGGCGGGCGCGCAGGCGGUUCGGAAAGAAGAUGUGAAAUCCCUGUAUUUAACUUUGAACUGCAUUUUUAACUACCAAUAGAGUGUCAGAGGGAGGUGGAAUUCCGCGUGUAGCAGUGAAAUGCGUAGAUAUGCGGAGGAACACCGAUGGCGAAGGCAGCCUCCUGGGAUAACACUGACGCUCAUGCACGAAAGCGUGGGGAGCAAACAGGAUUAGAUACCCUGGGUAGUCCACGUCUUAAACGAUGUCAACUAGCUGUCAGCCUCGGGCCUUGGUAAAGAAACACCCACAGUGUUGACCGCUUGGGAGCAUGGGUUAUGAUUUAACCCCAAAGGAAUUGACGGGGACUCCGCACAAGCGGUGGAUGAUGUGGAUUAACUGGCGCAACGCGAAAAACCUUACCUAAAUCUUGAAAGGUUCAACUCUGAAGAGACGGGGAGUGCUCGCAAGAGAACCGGAACACAGGUGCUGCAUGGCUGUCGUCAGCCUGUGUCGAGAUGCCAGCGUUAAGUCCCGGGCAAAGCGCAACCCUUGUCAUUAGUUGCCACGAAAGGGCACUCUAUGAGACUGCCGGUGACAAACCGGGAGGAAGGUGGGAUGACGUCAAGUCCUCAUGGCCCUUAUGGGUAGGGCUUCACACGUCAUACAAUGGUCGGGACAGAGGGUCGCCAACCCGCGAGGGGGAGCGCUAAUCCCAGAAACCCGAUCGUAGUCCGGAUCGCAGUCUGCAACCUCGACUGCGUGAAGUCGGAAUCGCUAGUAAUCGCGGAUCAGCAUGUCGCGUGAAUAUUCCCGGGUCUUGUACACACUGCCCGUCACACCAUGGGAGUGGGUUUUACCAGAAGUAGUUAGCCUAACCGUAAGGAGGACGAUUACCACGGUAGGAUUCAUGACUGGGGUGAAGUCGUAACAAGGUA